AUUGUCGUUUUGAUAGCAUUGGGGAAGGGUGCUGUAGGCCAGCCUGGAGGUGAGGAAUGCCCGAACACCCUGAGCCAGAUCUCUAUCUUGAUUGGAGAGACAUUGUUUCCUGACCAGCUGGAGGU
rfam:Procavia capensis cont1.183940, whole genome shotgun sequence.